AUGAGCGCUCUCACUCUCGCUACUGCUCAAGCAUGGAAAAAAAAGGAACAAAAAACAAAAGAGAGAGAAAAGCAAGCGGAAACAGCAAAGCAGGCUGCCCCUGUAGUUGCAGUGGAUAAACGACGAGACCCCGGAGUCCGCCGCAAGAUCGGGAUCCUCCCAUCAGUCUCGACGUGGCUGUGGUGCCUUUGUUUCCUCUUUCGUGCAAUGCCGAGAGAUGAUUUGUGCGCUUGCUUGCGGAGCUGCUCGUCCUCGCCGUUCGCUCCACGCGCGCAACCGUCGGCGUUGCCGGUGGGCGCAACGGAAUCAGCGAGUGCGCUGAGCUCCUCACGAUGCCCGUGGGUCGCCGCAUUUUCAGUUGCGCCUCAUCCUUGUACGCUUGCAACUCGUGGUGCUACUGCUAACUGCCUAGCUAGUGUGCAUUCCACGACUCAAAAGAAAACAAAAAACUAG
rnacentral:rRNA from 1 species